UACGUAGGUGGCAAGCGUUGUCCGGAUUUAUUGGGUUUAAAGCCUGCGUAGGUGGUCUAUUAAGUCAGUGCUGAAAUAUCCCGGCUUAACCGGGAGGGUGGCAUUGAUACUGAUAGACUUGAGUAGAGUUGAGGUAGGCGGAAUUGACGGUGUAGCGGUGAAAUGCUUAGAUAUCGUCAAGAACACCAAUAGCGAAGGCAGCUUACUAAGCUCUAACUGACACUGAUGCACGAAAGUGUGGGGAUCAAACAGG
rnacentral:rRNA from 1 species